CCCUUGGAUGUUCUGGGCCGCACGCGUGCUACACUGAACGGUUCAAUGGGUAAGGUAGUGCGAAAGCAUGACCUAAUCUCGAAAUCCGUUCGUGCUGGGGAUAGAAGCUUGCAAUUAUCCUUCUUGAACGAGGAAUACCUUGUAAGCGUGAGUCAUCAUCUCACGCUGAAUACGUCCCUGCCCUUUGUACACACCGCCCGUCGCUCCUACCGAUUGAGUGUUCCGGUGAGGCUUUGGGAGAAUGGCCUCAACAUGAGUUUAUCGUGUUUUGCCGUUUGAACUUAGUCAAACCUUAUCACUUAGAGGAAGGAGAAGUCGUAACA
rnacentral:rRNA from 1 species